CACGGGGGGAGCAAGCGUUGUUCGGAAUCACUGGGCGUAAAGGGCGUCUAGGCGGUCAGAUAAGUGGGAUGUGAAAUGCCCCGGCUCACCCGGGGACCGGCAUCCCAAACUGUCUGGCUUGAGUAUGGGAGAGGAUGUGGGAAUUCCUGGUGUAGCGGUGAAAUGCGCAGAUAUCAGGAGGAGCACCGGUGGCGAAGGCGGGUCUCUGGGCAACAACUGACGCUGAGGAGCGAAAGCGUGGGGAGCGAACAGG
rnacentral:rRNA from 1 species